ensembl:lncRNA
CUGAUUUAAAGAAAUCAGGAUCUGAAUUAAUCCCUCUUGAGGUAUCUCUAUCUGAGCUAUCACUUGAAGCUUUUUCAGUACUCACUGAACUGGGAAUAUGCAGCACUGGGGUGCAUCAACAUGAAUUUACAUUUUUAAGGUGCCUAUAACAUAUUCAGGAAGCCUAAAGUUAUUAAUUUCCUAUGUCAGUUAUAAGCUUGAGUUUUGGAUGGGACAAAUCAAGGACUAACUGGGCCAAAGUUACUCUAGGCAAAGUUCUAGCAAAAAAGAAAAUGGAGUGAAAUGCUGCAGAAUAAUAUGCUGGCUAUGACUCAUCAGAAUAACUAAAAAUGACUUGCAGUAUGGGGACUUAAGGGGACUGUUAAAAUAGAGGAAUAACUGUGAUUUUUCAAAGUAAAGAAAAUGAUUGAUAUUUAUUCAGUUCAGGAUAAUGUGAAAGACUGCAUCUGUAUGAUUGUAGCAGGUCAGUUCAUAAUAGGAGCCUUUUAAUGGAACAGAUCCCUUCACAGAAUGUAUUUGUUCUAUAAAAGCUAAUGUGCUGAAACCUCUAAUACCAAGUAGCCAAACAAGCCAAAGACAUAAUGCCAAAGAUUUUUAUAUUCUAUAUUUCCCUCCUCAGUGAUUACCAAUUUUCUCUUACCUCUACCAUGUUCAUGUGAGUAGUAUUCUUUUAUUUCAUAAUUACUUGUUACUAAAAUUUCCUGAAGUUUCAGGCUGCUCUGAAAAUAAUGCCUCCCAUUUAUUUACAUGCAAACUACCACACAUACCAAAAAGACAAUAACACUAUUUUAUGCAUUUUCACCCGAGAUGAAGAUGAGCACGCAUGUCACGCUUGUAAAAAUCUGUGCCAGCGGAGGUGACCCACUGUUGCUGUCACCAGUGUUGAAACUCACCACCCACCCACUGCCUCUCUGAGCUCAUAUCCACUAUUUGGUCUCCAUCAACGUUCAGCAAACAUCAAUGGAUGUCAAUGGGUGCCAUUUUUUCCACGGAGGAAUUCAGUGAGGUGCCUUUGUUCCAUACACACUUCCAUAUCAGACGCCAUUUUGUCAGACUGCCCCUCUGCCGCCAUCUGUCGCAAAACAACAACAUGUAACAGAAUGUUCGUGAGAAGGUUCAAUCUCUGCUUCCAUACCACCAACAUCCACCUCUGACAUUGUGGGCCAACAUAAUAAAUGGGAGGCAUUAUUUUUGGAGCAGCCCUUGUAUAUAUUUUACAUGUAUGGGGCACAUCCUUUUCAAUUCUCUGCCUGCUCCAGGCAGAGUGAGGCAGAAAGUCUGCAGCAAAGACAUAAAAUGCCUCUUUCAUAUAAUCUCCUGGGAAGAAAUGCCACCAAUGGCUCAGCCUACACAAAGGGUCUUUAAUUGAUGGGGCAGAUAACUCCUCAGGAAUGCAAGUUCUAGUUGUUGCAAGAAUCUGUGUCAUGUGAAAUUUUAAAGUCUUCUGUGCAUUCUUCCAAAUUCAGUACCGCACUAUGGUACGGUAAACAACUGUUGUCCAAAAUGCAUUGCAGAUUUUUACAGAUUGGAAAUCUAUAAAACAAACAAACAAACAAAGUGAUAUCAUCUAGCCCAGACUCCAGUUUUCAGAGUCUUGGCAUACUUUUUACUCAAAAAGCUAUUUAAAGCACAAAUACAAAUGCAUACAGAAGCUGUUUAUGUUCAAGCUAAAUCAGAAAUCUCUAAUUAGGGUAUCUUCAGCUCAAUCCUCUAAACAUGCCAAAGUACAGCAAAAUACAUAGCCAGGGUACGCUUCUGUGCUCAACACUAAAAAUGAAACAAUUCUACAAGGUGAGAGUUACACAAAUUCUCAUCUGUGUAUUGCAGAGUUUGGACCCAAGUCACCCCCACGCCUAGCUAAAAUCCCUUUCCUGCUGAGUUCCUCUGUUUCAGCUCCUCUUACCAGAGCUAGAAAAAAAUAAUUUAUUUGGUAUAAAAAUAUUUUGAAACAGGAAAUUUGUACCUGCAUGCCUCAUCUUACUGAAUCCUCUCAUCACUGGCCUUCCAGUACUUGAAGGGAGCAUAUCAACAGGAGGGAGAAUGACUGUUUACGAGGGUGGAUAGUGACAGGACAAGGGGGAAUGGUUUUAAACUGAGACAGGGGAGGUUUAGGUUAGAUAUUAGGAGGAAGUUUUUCACCCAGGGGGUGGUGAUGCACUGGAAGAGUUUGCCCAAGGAGACUGGGGAUGCCCCAUCCCUGAAGGCAUUCAAGGCCAGGUUGGAUGUGGCUCUGGGCAGCCUGGUCUAGUGGUUGGCAACCCUGCACAUAGCAGGGGGGGUUGAAACUAGACAAUCACUGUGGUCCUUUUCAACCCAGGCCAUUCUAUGAUUCUGUGAUCAGUUGCUUGGAAAACAAGUUUCAGUUUUGGUCUUCAGCAGGCAGUAAAACUCCAAAUUGCUUCCAGAAUCUCUGUCUCUCAGCUGACAAGAUAACUACAUUAGCCCUAUUCUGCAUUGUGGAAUGACAGGGCAAAAACAGAUCCCAGGAACAUGCAUACCUCUCCCUUUCCCCAGGCUGGCUUUUUUUGGACACUUCUGGAAUCAGUGAAUGCAUAUUUAGUGAUCUGUUUGGUGGGGACUGGCAUUAAUGAGGCAUACAGCAAUUUAUGUCCAAUACAUUCUGAUUUCAACAGAUGCCGCUUGCUACUUCACUUGGGACAUCUUCAAAAUCUGGAUCCUAUUUUUAUCACUGAAGUAGGCAACAUUUUAGAGGAUAUUUAAGGAAGGCAUUAGGGUUAAUUUAUUAUAACAUUGUCUAUUCUGAAAGGUCAAAGCAUAAGUUAUUAAAAAUAGGAAUUUUAUUUAAGGAGUGAAUGGCAUAUAUUUUUAAGUGAUAAGCCCAUAGGAUGCUAAAUAUGUCCUCCUGGAAAUUUAAAAAAUGUAAACUAUCAUUACUCUGAUCUGUCCUGCGGUUGCAAGCAGUGGUGCCAGAAUUUUUUGUGCCUGUGGUAACAAAAUCUCUCUCCCUCUCCCUUUGCCCUUAGCCAGUCUUCCCAGGCCAAGAGCUACAACUGAUUUUAGGAGGAGACCUUUUCCACUUGGUGUAUACAAACUGAUGAAUACACAUACAUUAAUCCACAUACAGCAAAGAUUAGACUAACUCAGUGAGCUUGGUCUUUGAGAUCUUGCCUUUAGAGAAUUCUCUUAAAAAAGAAUGUUCUCCGUGAAAGGAUGACUUUUUAAAAAUCUUACUGCUUGAUGAAUAGUUUGAGGACAGUUUCGAUUGAGUUAUUGAGUUUUGGAUUGACUGUUUGGAGUGAGUUAUUUCUGCUCUAUGCAGUACUUCUGCAUGCAUUCUGUGCAUGAAAAUGUCAUUGUCAUCAAGAGAAACACCAUAUGAGGAAUGCAUCUGGUGAAUGUUUCACAUAUGUAGGUUUUAUUGCUAUAUUUUAACCAUAUAAAAUUUCAAAAACCUGUUUCAAUGCUGACUAGCCAAUGGAAAGAGAUUUGCGUACCUCAGUGGGCUUCAGAUCAAGAUACAGUUGGAAAAUGGGUGUAAUAAAGCCCAUUAACAGAAAACUGUUUUUUUUAGGGGGGUCUUAGGAUUUUUAAAUCCCUUCCUCUUUGGUUUUUGAGCUACAUACUCCUUCCUCAAUUUAAAAAAAAAAAAAAAAAAAAAAGACGUUACAGUGUCGUACAUGAUGUAACAGGGCCAACAACUUAAGUUGCACUACAACUAAAUCACAACCUUUGGACAAGUCACAAGGAAAAUGUAUUUGUUUUAUUGAUUUUUACUCACGUCUGUACUGAUUGAUCAUUUACUCUAAAUACAAAGGCUGAAACAAGGAUCUAAAAAUGUAUACUUUUUUAGUCUAAGUGUCAUAUGAAGCAAAAUGGUCUUUUGUGAAUUUAUGCAAUAAAUGAUUUAAUUUAUUCUUUCAUUAUCAACUUUGGAAAAUAUUUCAAAAAUAGAAGAAACUUGUAUAAUUUAUGUAUUUACUACGGAAACAGACAAGGCCAUGCUCUGAGUUUUGUGAUCUUUUUUUUCCCAACAAAUAUAUCCUGUAUUGUAGUAGAAAACAGAAGUCUGAGCCAUACUCAGGGAAAAGGUGUCAUAAGUAUGUUACUGACCUGUUGGAAUAGAGGCUCUUGUCCUGGUAACAUUGCAGUCUGAAUUAGGACAGUUGCAUUGACUAUGUCUUUGUUCUUUUUGUUCCAUACAAAAUUAUUCUCUAAUUUUAUUGAGAUUAAACAUAUGGUGCUGUUCCUGAUGUUUGAUUAACUGCAACAUUUUUGAUGAGAAGUGAAAUCAAAGAGAUUUCACAUUAGCUGUGAAAAUGCUUGCCCUGCAAUUCUUUAAUAAAUAUUUGAACAAACUUUUAUAAGGAAUUUGAAGGAAAUGAUAUCAUGUGUUUCUUUAGGCACUGUCAUCAGUCCAAAACAAUAAUCUUAGGAAAAUCUGCAGGAUCAUAGAUCAUUCUUUAACAUGAGUCCACCUCCACGGCAGAGAGAGUUAAUUACACAAGGAAGGGUAUUUCAGCUUUGGAGCACUUCCUACUAAUAGGGCCAUAAAGCUUUCAGGCAGAGCUGGCAUGCACUCAGCCUUCUCAUGGUAUGGGCUUUUUCAUGUGUCCAUGUAAACAUGCACAUGUGUACCAAAUGUGGCACAUUUUCUGAGAAGAAUUGCUGGUCAGCUUGGAUUGGGCAAUAAUGUACUAAUGCUCUCAGAAAACACUUUUACAGAUAGACUUUCUAUAAUAUCUACAAAUAAAAUUUUAUUUGAUGGCAUUUUAUGGACGUGUGCCUUUAGAACCUAGUAUAAAAAGUAAGAAUAAAAUUUAGAAAUAAAAAAAGACAGGCAUUCUUAAAAAAAAAACCAAACAAAAAACCGUUGUUCUACAUUCUGCUCUUAUCUCUAAACCCACCAUUAGGAGAUCACAUAAAUAGCUGAUUUAGAGGAAAGUUGAACUUAGACGACAAGUUGCACGAAGGAGCUCAGACAUGGUAUUUGUUUGAACCCAUAACUCUCCUUUCUUCUGUAGUGUAGAUAAAGCAUCCAUUAAAAAAAAAGAAGAAAAGAAGAAAGAAAAGGAAAGAAAAGGAAAGAAAAGGAAAGAAAAGGAAAGAAAAGAAGAGAAGAGAAGAGAAAAGAAGAGAAGAGAAGAGAAAAGAAGAGAA